UAUGAGAGUUUGAUCCUGGCUCAGGACGAACGCUGGCGGCGUGCCUAAUACAUGCAAGUCGUACGCUUCUUUUUCCACCGGAGCUUGCUCCACCGGAAAAAGAAGAGUGGCGAACGGGUGAGUAACACGUGGGUAACCUGCCCAUCAGAAGGGGAUAACACUUGGAAACAGGUGCUAAUACCGUAUAACAAUCGAAACCGCAUGGUUUUGAUUUGAAAGGCGCUUUCGGGUGUCGCUGAUGGAUGGACCCGCGGUGCAUUAGCUAGUUGGUGAGGUAACGGCUCACCAAGGCUACGAUCCCUAGCCGACCUGAGAGGGUGAUCGG
rnacentral:rRNA from 1 species